rnacentral:lncRNA from 13 species
AUCUAAAGGGGAGGGUCCGGGUGGGCCUUCUUCAUGGCGGCGGCUCGGGUGCAGGACAUGGACCCUGCUCUACCUCAGUCUUGGCCCACUUAGGUGGCGCCUCUGGAGCGGGGACCCUGCAGCGGGCCCCGGACUGAAGAUCAUCGUAGAGGGCGUCACUGGACUGAGGAGCGGCUCUGGCAGCUCCAGACAGGAGGGAGAUUCCAGCAUCGCCGGCGUGACAGGCGGCAUCGGCAGCUCCUGGUUGGCUGACGGCUCUGGCAGCUCCUGGCUGGCUGACGGCUCUGGCGGCUACUGGCUGGCUGACGGCUCUGGCGGCCCCUGGCUGGCUGACGGCUCUGGCGGCUCCUGGCUGGCUGAAGGCUCUGGAGGAUCCUGGCUGGCUGACUGCUCUGGCGGCUCCUGGCUGGCUGACAGCUCUGGCGGCUCCGGACAGGAGGGAGACUCUGGCGGCUCAGGACAGGAGGGAGACUCUGGCGAAUCCAGACUGGAGGGAGACUCUGGUGACCCGACUGUGACCCGUCGUGGUAGGUUCCGGACUGCGACCCGUCGUAGUAGACUCCGGACUGCGACCCGUCGUGAUAGGUUCCGGACUGUGACCCGUCGUAGGAGGUUCCGGACUGCGACCCGACGUAGGAGGUUCCGGUCUGCGGCCCGACGUAGGAGGUUCCGGUCUGCGGCCCGACGUAGGAGGUUCCGGUCUGCGGCCCGACGUAGGAGGUUCCGGUUUGCGGCCCGUCAUAAGAGGUUCCAGUCUGUAGACUGUUGCUGGACGCUCUGGACUGGGUACUGUUUCUGGACGCUCUGGAUUGGGUACUGUUGCCGGACACUCAGGACUGGGUACUGUUGCCGGAUGCUCUGGACUGGGUACUGUAGCCGGACGCUCUGGGCUGGGUACUGUCGCCGGGCGCUCUGGGCUGGGUACUGUUGCCGGACUCUCUGGACAGGGUACUGUUGCCGGAAUCUCUGGACUGGCGAGGCGCACUGUAGGCCUGGUGCGUGGUGCCGGCACUGGUGGUACUGGGCCGAGGACACGCACCUCAGGGCGAGUGCGGGGAGGAGGAACAGGGCGUACUGGACUGCCGAGGUGCACUAUAGGCCUGGUGAGUGGUGCCGGCACUGGUGGUACCGGGCUGGGGACCCGCACCUCAGGACGAGUGCGGGGAGAAGGAACAGGGCGUACUCGACUGCCGAGUCGCACUAUAGGCCUGGUGCGUGAUGCCGGUACUGGAGGUACUGGGCUAGGGACACGUACCUCUGUGCGAGGAGUAGGAACAGGAAGUACUGGACCCUGGAGGCGCACUGAUGGCCUGGUGCCGGCACUGGUGGUACCGGGCUGGAGACACACACCUCAGGGCGAGUGUGAGGAGGAGGAACAGGGCGUACAGGGCUCUGGAGACGCACAGGAAGCCUGGUGCGUGGUGUUGGCACUGGUUGUACUGGGCUGGGGACACGCACCUCAGGGCGAGUGCGGGGAGCAGGCACAGGACGUACUGGGCUGUGGAGGUGGUCUGGAGUGUAAAGCUGACACAACCCGUCCUUGCAACCUGUGCCGGUUCCACGCUUCUGGCCUCAAGUGCACCUCUCCAGUCCGGUGUGUCAUGUGUCUCCUCCUCUCAGUCUCCCUGAAGUGCGUGUCCCCAGUUCGGUACGUCCUGUGCCUGCUCCUCGCACUCUCCCUGGAGUGCGUGUCUCCAGUCCGGGAAGUCCUGUGCC